GAACUUACUUGGCAGGGGAGAUACCAUGAUCAACAGUUUUUCCUAGGGUGAGGUCUGUCCAUUGCACUCAGGGCAGGUUGACUUCUGUGAGUUUCUCAAAUGCAGGAAACUGCGUUUGUGCUUUCCCUUAGCUUGCUCUUUCAGCCUUCUGGCUAGGAGCCA
rnacentral:snRNA from 1 species